AGGUCCCUGAGAAGGGUGGUCGCA
rnacentral:siRNA from 1 species